UACGGAGGGUGCAAGCGUUGUUCGGAUUUACUGGGCGUAAAGCGCGCGCAGGUGGGUGUGCAAGUCGGAAGUGAAAUCCCAGGGCUCAACCCUGGGGCUGCUCCCGAAACUGCACGUCUAGGGACUGGUAGAGGCUGGUAGAAUUCCCGGUGUAGCGGUGGAAUGCGUAGAGAUCGGGAAGAAUACCUGUGGCGAAGGCGGCCAGCUGGGCCAGAUCCGACACUGAGGCGCGAAAGCGUGGGGAGCGAACGGG
rnacentral:rRNA from 1 species